AGGCCCCAGUGAACACCUAACCGAGUCUACCUCGAGCCUCGCCAACACCCAGACGGCAGAGAACUCUCUGGACUCUCCAAGGACUGGUCUCUUCUCUGCUGCUCUGGCGUCACCCUCUACCUGCUUCCCGGCGCUGUCAACGAGUCUGCUUUCAGUGUUGGUUAAGUGUAGUUCAUCCUGGGCCCAGUUUAGAGGAGGCAGGCCAGUGAUGGCGUUUCGCACCUCGCCCCCGCAAGAAGACUAAACUACGCUGACGUUACAGAACAAACGGUAAAGCUCGGCCUCUCAGGAGAGGCCGUUGAUCAGCUUGCUUUCCAACGAAGAAUGAGCGCAGUCACGUCAACGUGAAGAACGGGAAGACGGGGCCAAGGAACAAGAACGAGAAUGGGAGCGUGAGGAACGAGAAUGGGAGCGUGAGAAGGAACGGGAAUUUGAACUUGCCCAGUUGAAGCUUAGUUUAGAGUCGGGAGCACGUCCUACCCAGUGCUCCUACCCAAUGUCCCGAUGCUGGCGUGCGAGGACCGAAGCUUCCAGCUCUCCAAGGAGAGGACAUCGCCGCCUACCUGUUAGACUUCAGUGUCUACUGACAGAGUGGCAGUCGAUUUGGUUGGACUACUGUCUCCCCCAUCCUCAGAAGGCCACAGGUACAUCCUCCUUCACUUUAAUCGACUACGCCAUUGGGUUCCCAGAUGCCGUGCCACUGAAGGAAAUAGACUAUCUCCGUUGCUGAGGCUUUACUCUCCACUUGAAAUUCUCACUGAUCAAGAAGGCAUACCAUUCCCUUGGAGUGGUGUUCUACAAGACUACCGUGGCUAGUCUCUUGGAGGGGGAGGGAGUUAUCUAAAGGGCAGAACACUACCUGACCAUCACCCCUCGUUCUGGAUCGUUCGGCCACUCCCGAGCGACACUUCGCUCAUUUCUCUGCCACGUAUGUCUCGAGAACCCUGCUUAUUCCGGUCACUCCAUGUCUUGAGGCCCUAGUGAACACCUAACCGAGACUACCUCGAGCCUCGCCAACACCCAGACGGAAGAGAACUCCUUGGACUGGCCUCUCCUCUGCUGCCCUGGUUUCACCCUAUACCUGCUUCCCGGCGCCGUCAACGAGUCUGCCUCCAGUGUUGGUGAGAUUAGUGUUCCUCUGGCCUUCCCUCACGCGCUCUGGAGGGAGACUCGUGGUGAGAGCCGGGUGUUAUAUUGUGUAUCUUUGUUUUUUGCGUGUAUACCUAUGUUUUUUGCAAGUCUAGUAAACUUAGAACCAUUCGAA